CAAUCGGUCCUUUUCAGGGCCAACAAAUGUGUAUGAAAAAGUUAUU
rfam:Aedes aegypti strain Liverpool supercont1.316 genomic scaffold, whole genome shotgun sequence.